rnacentral:rRNA from 1 species
AUUGAACGCUGGCGGCAGGCCUAACACAUGCAAGUCGAGCGGAGCGGCGGACGGGUGAGUAAUGCCUAGGAAUCUGCCUGGUCGUGGGGGAUGACGUCCGGAAACGGGCGCUAAUACCGCAUACUAUCAGAUGAGCCUAGGUCGGAUUGGCUGGUUGGUGGGGUAAAGGGCUACCAAGGCGACGAGCCGUAACUGGGCUGAGGGGAUGAUCAGGCACACUGGAACUGUGACACGGUCCAGACUCCUACGGUAGGAAGCAGUGGGGAAGAUUGGACAAUGGGCCAAAGCCUGAUCCAGCCAUGCCGCGUGUGUGAAGAAGGUCUUCGGAUUGUAAAGCUCUUUAAGUUGGGAGGCGUUACCAACAGAAUAAGCACCGGCUAACUUCGUGCCAGCAGCCGCGGUAAUUC